UACGGGGGGGGCAAGCGUUGUUCGGAAUUACUGGGCGUAAAGGGCUCGUAGGCGGCCAACUAAGUCCGACGUGAAAUCCCCAGGCUUAACCUGGGAACUGCGUCGGAUACUGGAUGGCUUGAAUCCGAGAGAGGGAUGCGGAAUUCCAGGUGUAGCGGUGAAAUGCGUAGAUAUCUGGAGGAACACCGGUGGCGAAGGCGGCAUCCUGGACCGGCAUUGACGCUGAGGAGCGAAAGCCAGGGGAGCAAACGGG
rnacentral:rRNA from 1 species